rnacentral:tRNA from 1 species
GCGGCUGUAGCUCAGCAGGAUAGAGCGAUCGCCUCCUAAGCGAUAGGUCGGAUGUUCGAAUCAUCUCAGUCGCACCA